AGUGAACGCUGGCGGUAGGCCUAACACAUGCAAGUCGAACGGCAGCACAGUAAGAGCUUGCUCUUACGGGUGGCGAGUGGCGGACGGGUGAGGAAUACAUCGGAAUCUACUUUUUCGUGGGGGAUAACGUAGGGAAACUUACGCUAAUACCGCAUACGACCUACGGGGGAAAGCAGGGGAUCUUCGGACCUUGCGCGAUUGAAUGAGCCGAUGUCGGAUUAGCUAGUUGGCGGGGUAAAGGCCCACCAAGGCGACGAUCCGUAGCUGGUCUGAGAGGAGGAUCAGCCCCACUGGAACUGAGACACGGUCCAGACUCCUACGGGAGGCAGCAGUGGGGAAUAUUGGCCAAUGGGCGCAAGCCUGAUCCAGCCGUACCGCGUGGGUGAAGAAGGCCUUCGGGUUGUAAAGCCCUUUUGUUGGGAAAGAAAAGCAGCAGGUUAAUACCCCGCUGUUCUGACGGUACCCAAAGAAUAAGCACCGGCUAACUUCGUG
rnacentral:rRNA from 1 species